UUUUCGUCCGUCGUUUAGAGGAUGAGCACCUCCGCAGGAGGUUCGAGCCUCGCGAAGCGAGACAACGUUGCUUCAGCAACGGCCCGCAGGGCGCGCAUCAAAGAUGCGCGUAAUCCUCUCUCGCCGACCA
rnacentral:sRNA from 1 species